AGAGUUUGAUCCUGGCUCAGGAUGAACGCUAGCUACAGGCUUAACACAUGCAAGUCGAGGGGAAACGACAUCGAAAGCUUGCUUUUGAUGGGCGUCGACCGGCGCACGGGUGAGUAACGCGUAUCCAACCUGCCCACCACUUGGGGAUAACCUUGCGAAAGUAAGACUAAUACCCAAUGACGUCUCUAGAAGACAUCUGAAAGAGAUUAAAGAUUUAUCGGUGAUGGAUGGGAUGCGUCUGAUUAGCUUGUUGGCGGGGUAACGGCCACAAGGCGACGAUCAGUAGGGGUUCUGAGAGGAAGGUCCCCACAUUGGAACUGGAGACACGGUCCAAACGUUCCUACGGGAGGCA
rnacentral:rRNA from 1 species